GUAAUACGACGUUACAUACGUCAGUCGCCGUGAGCUGCAUGAAGCUUAACAUUUGAUGUUGAGCCAUGCGGUUAGUCUAAUUCCCUUUACUGGCAUUAGGUUAGUUAUGGCAUCUACGGGGUAUUUUGGUGACGGUCCGCCGAUGCGCGAGCGUGACCCGUACUUCACUGAGGUCAUCAGCCAGAGCAUGCGCGUGCCCGAGCGGCUGAGGGUCGGUUCAGCGUCCAACGCGCACGAACCUGCAGACCAAAGACCUGAAGAUCUGCCUGCUGCCUACAGCAUGCACAUACCAGACAGACUCGCCUUAACAGAUGCUCCUGAUAUGAGUCCACGACCUCUCUUCUCCAAACACACUUCAUCAAUGUGGGACCUGCAGCACGGAUCCUGGGACAGGGAGGCUUUCAUGAGAGAGCCUGUUCAGAGUCCACUUCGCAGGUCUUAUAGUGACCAGGCCUUUGGUCGAACCCCACCUGGAACCCCCACACACUCCAGACAAACACUCCGCUCCCAGUCUCCCCGCAGUGUUGUACAUCCACCUGUCGUGCAUACAGACCCGUCCCCGCCAAAGCCCCCAGGGCAUCCCUCCAUCCCGCCCAGCCUGCUGUCCCCACAGAGCAUGCUGCAGGCCGCGAAGGAGCUGGGCCAGCAGGCAUCUCAGAAACUCCUCCAGACUGUCACUAAAAAGUACUCCUCCAGGUUUGGUUACCUGGAAAACAAUCCCUCUCAGGCUGCGGAGGUUCAACCUGACCAGAGCAGGACAAGUGCCUCGCAGGAGUUCUGGCUUAGUCCUGAAGAGGACACUGGUACUGCUGUUGAGUUCAUGGUGCUCCGCAGACAGGAACUGCCUGCAUACUCUCGCCACAUGAGGCCGGGCAUUGUCGUGCACCAGGAGGAACCCAGGACCCACUGCACCAGCGUAGGAUCUGACAAUGGGUCUAUGGAUUUCAUCCCGAUAACUAAUGGCAGUCAGGGUGCCAUUGUCUAGCCUGUAGAGGUCUGUGCGUUCCUCCAUGGAUAUGCCUCCCCAGACCAUCACUGACCCACCACCAAACCGGUCAUGCUGAACGACAUUACAGGCAGCAUAACGUUCUCCACGGCUUCUCAGACCCUUUCACGUCUGUCACAUGUGCUCAGGGUGAACCUGCUGUCAUCUGAAAAGCACAGGACGCCAGUGGCGGACCUGCCAAUUCUGGUGUUUAAUGGCAAAUGCCAGUCGAGCUCCAUGGUGCCAGGCAAGUAAGCACAGGGCCCACUAGAGGACGUCAGGCCCUCAGGCCACACUCAUGAAGUCUGUUUCUGAUUGUUUGGUCAGAGACAUUCACACCAGUGGCCUGCUGGAGGUCAUUUUGUAGGGCUCUGGCAGUGCUUAUCCUGAUCCUCCUUGCAUAAAGGUGCAGAUACCAGUCCUGCUGAUGGGUUAAGGACCUUCUAUGGCUCUGUCCAGCUCCCCUAGACUGCCUGUCUCCUGGAAUCUCCUCCAUGCUCUUGAGACUGUGCUGGGAGACACAGCAAACCUUCUGGCAAUGGCACAUGUUGAUGUGCCAUCCUGGAGGAGUUGGACUGCCUAUGCAACCUCUGUAGGGUCCAGGUGGUGAAGAUGAGCAGGAGGAUAGCAGGUCUGGAGAGACAGAACGCAGAGCGCAGACAGACAGAGCUGGUGCUCUUUUCUCUAUUAAUGUCUGCCUGUCUGAUCAAUGGCUGGCUGUGGAUGCGCAGAUGACGG